GACAGCAGUCGCCGCGGUAAUACGUAGGUGGCAAGCGUUGUCCGGAAUUAUUGGGCGUAAAGGGCUCGCAGGCGGUUUCUUAAGUCUGAUGUGAAAGCCCCCGGCUCAACCGGGGAGGGUCAUUGGAAACUGGGAAACUUGAGUGCAGAAGAGGAGAGUGGAAUUCCACGUGUAGCGGUGAAAUGCGUAGAGAUGUGGAGGAACACCAGUGGCGAAGGCGACUCUCCGGUCUGUAACUGACGCUGAGGAGCGAAAGCGUGGGGAGCGAACAGGAUUAGAUACCCCGGUAGUCCCUGUCUCUUAUAC
rnacentral:rRNA from 1 species